GACGAACGCUGGCGGCGUGCUUAACACAUGCAAGUCGAACGGAAAGGCCCUGCUUUUGUGGGGUGCUCGAGUGGCGAACGGGUGAGUAACACGUGAGUAACCUGCCCUUGACUUUGGGAUAACUUCAGGAAACUGGGGCUAAUACCGGAUAGGAGCUCCUGCUGCAUGGUGGGGGUUGGAAAGUUUCGGCGGUUGGGGAUGGACUCGCGGCUUAUCAGCUUGUUGGUGGGGUAGUGGCUUACCAAGGCUUUGACGGGUAGCCGGCCUGAGAGGGUGACCGGCGAAGUGGGACUUGGAAACGGCCCCAGCCUCCUGGGGGGGGCAGCAGGGGGAAGUGUAGCAAAGGGGGCGGAAGCCUGAGGCAGAACCGCCGGGUGGGGAAGGACGUCCUGCGGUUUAGAAACGGUUUUCGCUGGGGACAAAGGGGGGGUGACGGUAAUGGGUAAAGAAGCACCGGCUAACUACGUC
rnacentral:rRNA from 1 species